GAAAUGCGAUAAGUAAUGUGAAUUGCAGAAUUCAGUGAAUCAUCGAAUCUUUGAACGCACAUUGCGCCCCCUGGUAUUCCGGGGGGCAUGCCUGUUCGAGCGUCAUUUCACCACUCAAGCCUCGCUUGGUAUUGGGCGACGCGGUCCGCCGCGCGCCUCAAAUCGACCGGCUGGGUCUUUCGUCCCCUCAGCGUUGUGGAAACUAUUCGCUAAAGGGUGCCGCGGGAGGCCACGCCGUAAAACAACCCCAUUUCUAAGGUUGACCUCGGAUCAGGUAGGGAUACCCUCUGAACUUAAGC
rnacentral:misc_RNA from 1 species